rnacentral:rRNA from 1 species
GAUGAACGCUGGCGACGUGCCUAAUACAUGCAAGUCGAGCGAACAGACGAGGAGCUUGCUCCUCUGACGUUAGCGGCGGACGGGUGAGUAACACGUGGAUAACCUACCUAUAAGACUGGGAUAACUUCGGGAAACCGGAGCUAAUACCGGAUAAUAUAUUGAACCGCAUGGUUCAAUAGUGAAAGACGGUUUUGCUUUCACUUAUAGGUGGAUCCGCGCCGCAUUAGCUAGUUGGUAAGGUAACGGCUUACCAAGGCAACGAUGCGUAGCCGACCUGAGAGGGUGAUCGGCCACACUGGAACUGAGACACGGUCCAGACUCCUACGGGAGGCAGCAGUAGGGAAUCUUCCGCAAUGGGCGAAAGCCUGACGGAGCAACGCCGCGUGAGUGAUGAAGGUCUUCGGAUCGUAAAACUCUGUUAUUAGGGAAGAACAAAUGUGUAAGUAACUAUGCACGUCUUGACGGUACCUAAUCAGAAAGCCACGGCUAACUACGUG